rnacentral:rRNA from 1 species
UACGGAGGGGGCGAGCGUUAUUCGGAAUUAUUGGGCGUAAAGGGCGCGUAGGCGGCUCGAUAAGUCAAAGGUGAAAUCCCUCGGCUCAACUGAGGAACUGCCUUUGAAACCGUCGAGCUCGAGUCCGGGAGAGGUGAGUGGAACUGCGAGUGUAGAGGUGAAAUUCGUAGAUAUUCGCAAGAACACCAGUGGCGAAGGCGGCUCACUGGCCCGGUACUGACGCUGAGGUGCGAAAGCGUGGGGAGCAAACAGG